rnacentral:misc_RNA from 1 species
CCAAUAGCGUAUAUUAAAGUUGCUGCAGUUAAAAAGCUCGUAGUUGAAUUUCGGGACUAAUAUGUCGGUCGUGCCUCGGUACGUACUGGUAUUUUUGGUUUCUCCCUUCUGACGAACCUUGAUGUCAUUAAUUUGGUGUCUUGGGAAAUCAGGACUGUUACUUUGAAAAAAUUAGAGUGUUUAAAGCAGGCUCACGCUUGAAUACAUUAGCAUGGAAUAAUGCAAUAGGACGUUUGAUUCUAUUUUGUUGGUUUCUAGGAUCGACGUAAUGAUUAAUAGGGAUAGUUGGGGGCAUUAGUAUUCAAUUGUCAGAGGUGAAAUUCUUGGAUUUAUUGAAGACUAACUACUGCGAAAGCAUUUGCCAAGGAUGUUUUCAUUAAUCAAGAACGAAAGUUGGGGGAUCGAAGACGAUCAGAUACCGUCGUAGUCUCAACCAUAAACUAUGCCGACUUGGGAUGGGUAAACGUUGACUUUAUUGACUUUAUUCGCACCAUAUG